rnacentral:pre_miRNA from 1 species
UGCAGCCUGGGCGACAAAACGAGACCCUGUCUUUUUUUUUUCUGAGACAGAGUCUCGUUCUGUUGCCCAAGCUGGA